rnacentral:rRNA from 1 species
AGCGUGGAGACAGGUGGUGCAUGGCUGUCGUCAGCUCGUGUCGUGAGAUGUUGGGUUAAGUCCCGCAACGAGCGCAACCCUCACCCUUUGUUGCCAUCAGGUUAUGCUGGGCACUCUAAGGGAACUGCCUCGGUUAACGAGGAGGAAGGUGGGGAUGACGUCAAGUCAUCAUGCCCCUUACGCUCUGGGCUACACACGUGCUACAAUGGCCAAUACAAAGGGCUGCAAACCCGCGAGGGCAAGCCAAUCCCAAAAAAUUGGUCUCAGUUCAGAUUGUAGGCUGCAACCCGCCUGCAUGAAGGAGGAAUCGCUAGUAAUCGUGGAUCAGCAUGCCACGGUGAAUACGUUCCCGGGCCUUGUACACGCCGCCCGUCACACCACGAAAGUCUGCUGUACUCGAAGUCGCUGAG